CCUACGGGAGGCAGCAGUAGGGAAUCUUCGGCAAUGGGGGGAACCCUGACCGAGCAACGCCGCGUGAGUGAAGAAGGUUUUCGGAUCGUAAAGCUCUGUUGUAAGAGAAGAACGUGUGUGAGAGUGGAAAGUUCACACAGUGACGGUAACUUACCAGAAAGGGACGGCUAACUACGUGCCAGCAGCCGCGGUAAUACGUAGGUCCCGAGCGUUGUCCGGAUUUAUUGGGCGUAAAGCGAGCGCAGGCGGUUUGAUAAGUCUGAAGUAAAAGGCUGUGGCUUAACCAUAGUAUGCUUUGGAAACUGUCAAACUUGAGUGCAGAAGGGGAGAGUGGAAUUCCAUGUGUAGCGGUGAAAUGCGUAGAUAUAUGGAGGAACACCGGUGGCGAAAGCGGCUCUCUGGUCUGUAACUGACGCUGAGGCUCGAAAGCGUGGGGAGCAAACAGGAUUAGAUACCCUGGUAGUCCACGCCGUAAACGAUGAGUGCUAGGUGUUGGGUCCUUUCCGGGACUCAGUGCCGCAGCUAACGCAUUAAGCACUCCGCCUGGGGAGUACGACCGCAAGGUUGAAACUCAAAUGAAUUGACGG
rnacentral:rRNA from 1 species